AAGAUUAAGCCAUGCAUGUCUAAGUAUAAGCACUUUAUACUGUGAAACUGCGAAUGGCUCAUUAAAUCAGUUAUCGUUUAUUUGAUAGUACCUUACUACAUGGAUACCUGUGGUAAUUCUAGAGCUAAUACAUGCUAAAAACCCCGACUUCGGAAGGGGUGUAUUUAUUAGAUAAAAAACCAAUGCCCUUCGGGGCUCCUUGGUGAUUCAUAAUAACUUAACGAAUCGCAUGGCCUUGCGCCGGCGAUGGUUCAUUCAAAUUUCUGCCCUAUCAACUUUCGAUGGUAGGAUAGUGGCCUACCAUGGUGGCAACGGGUAACGGGGAAUUAGGGUUCGAUUCCGGAGAGGGAGCCUGAGAAACGGCUACCACAUCCAAGGAAGGCAGCAGGCGCGCAAAUUACCCAAUCCCGACACGGGGAGGUAGUGACAAUAAAUACUGAUACGGGGCUCUUUCGGGUCUCGUAAUUGGAAUGAGUACAAUCUAAAUCCCUUAACGAGGAACAAUUGGAGGGCAAGUCUGGUGCCAGCAGCCGCGGUAAUUCCAGCUCCAAUAGCGUAUAUUAAAGUUGUUGCAGUUAAAAAGCUCGUAGUUGAACCUUGGGUCUGGCUGGCCGGUCCGCCUCACCGCGAGUACUGGUCCGGCUGGACCUUUCCUUCUGGGGAAUCCCAUGGCCUUCACUGGCUGUGGGGGGAACCAGGACUUUUACUGUGAAAAAAUUAGAGUGUUCAAAGCAGGCCUUUGCUCGAAUACAUUAGCAUGGAAUAAUAGAAUAGGACGUGCGGUUCUAUUUUGUUGGUUUCUAGGACCGCCGUAAUGAUUAAUAGGGAUAGUCGGGGGCGUCAGUAUUCAGCUGUCAGAGGUGAAAUUCUUGGAUUUGCUGAAGACUAACUACUGCGAAAGCAUUCGCCAAGGAUGUUUUCAUUAAUCAGGGAACGAAAGUUAGGGGAUCGAAGACGAUCAGAUACCGUCGUAGUCUU
rnacentral:rRNA from 1 species